GAUGAACGCUGGCGGCGUGCCUAAUACAUGCAAGUCGAACGCUGGAGAUCUAGCUUGCUAGAUCGAAGGAGUGGCGCACGGGUGAGUAAUACAUAAGCAACCUACCCACGAAGACUGGGAUAAUCUCUGGAAACGGGGACUAAUACCGGAUAGGCAAUCGGAAGGCAAUUUCUGGUUAUUAAAGGUUAGAAACACUGGCGGAUGGGCUUAUGGCGCAUUAGUUAGUUGGUGAGGUAACGGCACACCAAGACGAUGAUGCGUAGCCGGCCUGAGAGGGUGAACGGCCACAUUGGGACUGAGACACGGCCCAGACUCCUACGGGAGGCAGCAGUAGGGAAUUCUAAGCAAUGGGGGCAACCCUGACCGAGCCGCGCCGCGUGAGUGAAGACGGCCUUCGGGUUGUAAAGCUCUGUUGUAAGGGAAGAACGGUAGAUAGAGAAUAUCUAAGUGACGGUACCUUACCAGAAAGCCACGGCUAACUACGUG
rnacentral:rRNA from 1 species